UCCACCUGUAAAAUAUAUAAGCGGCGCGCUCCCCUCCGCUCCCGAGUCCCAACGGUCGAAUCUGACCUGGCUCUUAAACCCUCUUCCUCUCCCCCCUCCACGCAUCAUCCAUCAUCCCCUUCCCACAAAUUUCAAAAGUUUCACUAAUCGCGUGAGGGGGAGAAGGAAUCCACUCGAAUCGACCGAUCGAUUGAUCGAUCCAGGAGGAGGCGAAGGGGUUCGCCGGCGGCGACGAUGGAGGAGGACCCGCUCAUCCCGCUGGUCCACGUCUGGAACAACGCCGCCUUCGAUGACUCCGUGUCUUCCAGAUCGGCUUGGCUCCCCCAGAGCCCCGCCGUGGCGGUUGUGCGCAAGGGUGAUAAGGAGAAUCACCGCCCGGGGGUUGAUGACGCCGCCGGCUGUGAUGUAGAGGCUGAGAUUGACCACAUCGAGGCGGAGAUCCUGCGGCUCUCGUCCCGGCUCCACCAUCUCCGCUGCUCAAAUCAGCCGGAGCCGAACCGCGACGCUGCUCCGAUGAGGGAGAUGGUCGCGAAGGUGCGGCCGCGGCCGAGGGGCCUCAGCCUCGGGCCCCUGGAUGUCAUCUCCAUCUUCAACCGUGAGAAGCAGCCGCUGCGCUCCGGGCAGAGUUUGAAGCCCAUCAGGCAGCCUUCGGCGACGACGCGCGGCAGGGGGCUCAGCGUCGGCCCCCUCGAGAUCGCCGCCGCGAACCCUAGGGUGCCCGCCGCCGCGCAGCAUCAGCAACAGAAACGCGCGGGCACCGCGCGGAUCCUGAAGCCGAUCAAGGAGCCUCCAGCGCAGCGUCGCAGGGGCGUCAGCCUCGGACCCCUGGAGAUCCACCACGGCGUCGGCAGCAAGCCUGCUUCGGCGCGGGCCAAGCCGUUCCCCACAAAGCUCAAUGCCAUCCGAGAAGAAAGCCGACCCUCCAAGCAAUUCGCGGUCCCCGCCAAGCCAUGGCCGUCGAGCAAUACCAAGCAGACGCUGGACUCCAAGCAAGGAGCAGCAGCAAGUAGAGCAAAGGCGAGGAGCACGAGCCCCAGGCCCAGGAGGCAAUCCAUUGGCAAGGCUACUGACACAAGGGGAGCCAACAAGGUGGUGGACGAGCUCAAGCCCAAAGGUGCGUCCAGUCAGAGCGGCAGUGCCACCGCCGCCGCUUCCACCGCCACUGCCAAGAGGCCGGCGGGGAGCUCCAAGAUGAGGGUCGUCCCGAGCCGCUACAGCCUCACCCCUGGCGCGUCCCUGGGAGGAAGUGGAGCACAGGAGAGGCGACGCAAGCAGUCUCUGCCAGAUUCAUCGGGGGACGCAACCCAGAAUGAGGAGAUCAGAGCGAAAGUCAUCGAGGCAUCCAAUGAUCCACUCUCUCCUCAAACAAUCGCCAAGGUCGCCGAGAUGCUCCCAAGGAUCAGGACCAUGCCGCCUCCUGACGAGAGCCCUCGCGACUCCGGGUGCGCCAAGAGGGUCGCUGAAUUGGUCGGGAAGCGUUCUUUCUUCACGGCCGCAGCCGAGGACGGCAACGCCAUCCCGUCCUACAACGCGCGGGUGCUCGACGUCGAAGCACCCGAGGCAGCAGCAGAAGCUUGAGGAGAACCACCUCCACCUUCUUCUUGGCGAAAAUUCCAAAGUGCCUGCUUAACUUGAGAUAGCAUUCGGUUGAGGUUCUUUUUUUGCAGGGGCGUGUUGCAUAAAUGGUCCGGCUACUGUUACAGUGUUACAUUCAUAUGCCAUGCUCUGUUUCCUCUUCUUCUUGUUUUAUUUGUUUUUGUUUCUUUCUCAAGGCCUUGCUAGUCAAUGUGUGCAAAGAGAUAGUGUUGAGUCCUUCCUAUGGUUUCUUGUUUUGGAAUUUUAAGUGUGCUCUUUGGAUUGAGAUUUUGAGCAAGUACAGGAUCAUGGUGUGGUUAAAAAUGGUAUCCUUGCAUUUUGAGCUCUCCAUAAAUUAAGUUCAAGAUUUACCUGCUUAAGGGAUGAUAAGAGCAAUAAAAAUUCAUGAACCAGAACACAAAUAUGGGACCAUGAGUCCAAAUCACUACAGUUUCA